rnacentral:rRNA from 1 species
UACGGAGGGGACUAGCGUUGUUCGGAAUCACUGGGCUUAAAGGGCGCGUAGGCGGGUGCUCAAGUCCGGGGUGAAAUCCUCCAGCUCAACUGGAGAACUGCCUCGGAUACUGGGUGUCUCGAGGGUGGUAGGGGUAUGCGGAACUAUCGGUGGAGCGGUGAAAUGCGUUGAUAUCGAUAGGAACUCCGGUGGCGAAGGCGGCAUACUGGACCACAUCUGACGCUGAGGCGCGAAAGCCAGGGGAGCAAACGGG